GCCGCUCUCCUGACUCCUAGCCCAGAGGAGUCAGCCAGGCGCCCAGGCCAAGGCACUGGGUAUUUUGAGGCUCCAGCAUCAUCAGCAGGGUCUAGGAGGCCUCAGCCAUAUUGUAUUUCAUGUGACCCAGGCACUGGGCCAGCAAUGCAGCCACGGGGAGCCAACCUUGUGCCCUUGCCACUGACCUGGGCCCCAUCUCCUUUUCUGCUGGUCUCCAGAGCCAGACCAGGGCAGAGGCAUUGUGGGAAGGGCCCCUGCCAGGCCCAACAGGCACAAGAAGCAGGAGGCAAGAGGGCAACUUUAGCUGCCACCAAAGUGCCCAAGAAUGGGUUUUGGGCCCCUCAGCAACUCCAUCCUCUGCCCAUUCCACUGUAAAUAUCCUGAACAGUGUUUGUCUCUGGACAUCGUAUAGGGCAUAGGGAACCAACCAUCUGGGUUUGCCCUGGACGCUCCUGGUUUUAGCACUGAAAAUCCCAUGUCCCAUGAAACUCCUCGGUCCUGUGCAAGCAGGAAGGGUUGUUGGCAAUCUCCUACCAUCCUCCAGUUGUGACUCCCAUUUGAAGAUGCAGAAACUGAGGCCCAGGAAAGGCAAGUCCCUUGCCCAGGGUCACGGAGCUGGAAGAUGUGACCCCAGAAGACAGAACCAGGACAAUGGAUGGAUCUUCGGGGAGGCAGAUUUGAACUCAAUCUGAGAAAGAACUUGUAACAAUGUGAACAGUUUGACACCAGCUCUUGAGGGUCCUGCCAGGAGAUCAAGAGCUCCCUGUCAACUCUGGGCAUCUUCAGUGGGGUUGGAUGAGCACCCACAAAGUCCCUGAGGUCCCUAGUUAGGCAGGGACUGACCACCCCAACCUCCUUCUCAGGCCCCUCUCUCCCCAGGAGAUCCUGACCCCCAUCAAACCCACUGCCCUGCAUUCCAGACCCACAAGGCCCCACAGGCUGGCUGGAUCUUCCAGAGGCAAGUGAUGGUGGGCUGCUGCCAUAGCAUAGCCAAGGAGUGGUGUAGGUCUGCACCCGGGAUCCGAACCUGUGAAACUGGGCUGCUGAAGGGGCGUGCAUUGAACAUUACCACUACGCCAUGGGGCUGGCCUUCACCUUGAAUUUUGAGUGUAGUCAUUGCCUUGCUUUUAAAAUAUAGUUUUAUCAUGUUUGCAUGUAUCCCUAAACAACGUAUGAUAUAGUUUUUGAGCUUUAUAAAAAUAGUAUUCUACUGUAUAUGGUUCUUUGGGAUGCUUUUUUUCACUCAACACUGUUUCUCCAGGAGAAGUAGAGAAGAAUGUAGAUUUGUGGGGAGGCAAAACUGGGCUGGAAUCCAGAUUGCAGCUACUCCAGCUGUGUGAUUUCAUGCAAAUUUCUCAGCUCUGCUGAGUCUCAGCUUCCUCUUCUAUAUAAAUGGGGC
rnacentral:lncRNA from 1 species